rnacentral:rRNA from 2 species
GGUUAAGCGACUAAGCGUACACGGUGGAUGCCCUGGCAGUCAGAGGCGAUGAAGGGCGUGCUAAUCUGCGAUAAGCGCCGGUAAGGUGAUAUGAACCGUUAUAACCGGCGAUACCCGAAUGGGGAAACCCAGUGUGACUCGUCACACUAUCAUUAACUGAAUCCAUAGGUUAAUGAGGCGAACCGGGGGAACUGAAACAUCUAAGUACCCCGAGGAAAAGAAAUCAACCGAGAUUCCCCCAGUAGCGGCGAGCGAACGGGGAGGAGCCCAGAGCCUGAAUCAGCAUGUGUGUUAGUGGAAGCGUCUGGAAAGGCGCGCGAUACAGGGUGACAGCCCCGUACACAAAAGCGCAUGUGCUGUGAGCUCGAUGAGUAGGGCGGGACACGUGGUAUCCUGUCUGAAUAUGGGGGGACCAUCCUCCAAGGCUAAAUACUCCUGACUGACCGAUAGUGAACCAGUACCGUGAGGGAAAGGCGAAAAGAACCCCGGCGAGGGGAGUGAAAAAGAACCUGAAACCGUGUACGUACAAGCAGUGGGAGCCCCACCACCAAAGCAUUCUCUGGUGUUGAAGGCCCUGCAAAGCAGCAUCGCGGUGGCGGAGCGUCGUUUGCGACGCCCAACACACAAAACAAGCGGUGAGUGCUUUGGGGUGGGGUGACUGCGUACCUUUUGUAUAAUGGGUCAGCGACUUAUAUUCUGUAGCAAGGUUAACCGAAUAGGGGAGCCGGAGGGAAACCGAGUCUUAAUUGGGCGUUAAGUUGCAGGGUAUAGACCCGAAACCCGGUGAUCUAGCCAUGGGCAGGUUGAAGGUUGGGUAACACUAACUGGAGGACCGAACCGACUAAUGUUGAAAAAUUAGCGGAUGACCUGUGGCUGGGGGUGAAAGGCCAAUCAAACCGGGAGAUAGCUGGUUCUCCCCGAAAGCUAUUUAGGUAGCGCCUCGUGAAUUCAUCUCCGGGGGUAGAGCACUGUUUCGGCUAGGGGGCCAUCCCGGCUUACCAACCCGAUGCAAACUGCGAAUACCGGAGAAUGUUAUCACGGGAGACACACGGCGGGUGCUAACGUCCGUCGUGAAGAGGGAAACAACCCAGACCGCCAGCUAAGGUCCCAAAGUCAUGGUUAAGUGGGAAACGAUGUGGGAAGGCCCAGACAGCCAGGAUGUUGGCUUAGAAGCAGCCAUCAUUUAAAGAAAGCGUAAUAGCUCACUGGUCGAGUCGGCCUGCGCGGAAGAUGUAACGGGGCUAAACCAUGCACCGAAGCUGCGGCAGCGACACUGUGUGUUGUUGGGUAGGGGAGCGUUCUGUAAGCCUGUGAAGGUGGCCUGUGAGGGUUGCUGGAGGUAUCAGAAGUGCGAAUGCUGACAUAAGUAACGAUAAAGCGGGUGAAAAGCCCGCUCGCCGGAAGACCAAGGGUUCCUGUCCAACGUUAAUCGGGGCAGGGUGAGUCGACCCCUAAGGCGAGGCCGAAAGGCGUAGUCGAUGGGAAACGGGUUAAUAUUCCCGUACUUGGUGUUACUGCGAAGGGGGGACGGAGAAGGCUAUGUUGGCCGGGCGACGGUUGUCCCGGUUUAAGCGUGUAGGUGUGUGUUCCAGGUAAAUCCGGUUCACUUUAACACUGAGGCGUGACGACGAGGCACUACGGUGCUGAAGCAACAAAUGCCCUGCUUCCAGGAAAAGCCUCUAAGCAUCAGGUAACAUCAAAUCGUACCCCAAACCGACACAGGUGGUCAGGUAGAGAAUACCAAGGCGCUUGAGAGAACUCGGGUGAAGGAACUAGGCAAAAUGGUGCCGUAACUUCGGGAGAAGGCACGCUGACACGUAGGUGAAGUGAUUUACUCACGGAGCUGAAGUCAGUCGAAGAUACCAGCUGGCUGCAACUGUUUAUUAAAAACACAGCACUGUGCAAACACGAAAGUGGACGUAUACGGUGUGACGCCUGCCCGGUGCCGGAAGGUUAAUUGAUGGGGUCAGCGCAAGCGAAGCUCCUGAUCGAAGCCCCGGUAAACGGCGGCCGUAACUAUAACGGUCCUAAGGUAGCGAAAUUCCUUGUCGGGUAAGUUCCGACCUGCACGAAUGGCGUAAUGAUGGCCAGGCUGUCUCCACCCGAGACUCAGUGAAAUUGAACUCGCUGUGAAGAUGCAGUGUACCCGCGGCAAGACGGAAAGACCCCGUGAACCUUUACUAUAGCUUGACACUGAACAUUGAGCCUUGAUGUGUAGGAUAGGUGGGAGGCUUUGAAGUGUGGACGCCAGUCUGCAUGGAGCCGACCUUGAAAUACCACCCUUUAAUGUUUGAUGUUCUAACGUGGACCCGUAAUCCGGGUUGCGGACAGUGUCUGGUGGGUAGUUUGACUGGGGCGGUCUCCUCCUAAAGAGUAACGGAGGAGCACGAAGGUUGGCUAAUCCUGGUCGGACAUCAGGAGGUUAGUGCAAUGGCAUAAGCCAGCUUGACUGCGAGCGUGACGGCGCGAGCAGGUGCGAAAGCAGGUCAUAGUGAUCCGGUGGUUCUGAAUGGAAGGGCCAUCGCUCAACGGAUAAAAGGUACUCCGGGGAUAACAGGCUGAUACCGCCCAAGAGUUCAUAUCGACGGCGGUGUUUGGCACCUCGAUGUCGGCUCAUCACAUCCUGGGGCUGAAGUAGGUCCCAAGGGUAUGGCUGUUCGCCAUUUAAAGUGGUACGCGAGCUGGGUUUAGAACGUCGUGAGACAGUUCGGUCCCUAUCUGCCGUGGGCGCUGGAGAACUGAGGGGGGCUGCUCCUAGUACGAGAGGACCGGAGUGGACGCAUCACUGGUGUUCGGGUUGUCAUGCCAAUGGCACUGCCCGGUAGCUAAAUGCGGAAGAGAUAAGUGCUGAAAGCAUCUAAGCACGAAACUUGCCCCGAGAUGAGUUCUCCCUGAGACUUUAAGUCUCCUGAAGGAACGUUGAAGACGACGACGUUGAUAGGCCGGGUGUGUAAGCGCAGCGAUGCGUUGAGCUAACCGGUACUAAUGAACCGUGAGGCUUAACCUU